rnacentral:sRNA from 1 species
AUAUCUCUCUGUACGGGAAGGAUGAGAAGCUUCGACUAAGGUUCGAUUCGAGCGUCAGCGAGAAACCGUUGCCGCAGGCAACGACCCGAAGGGCGAA